rnacentral:lncRNA from 1 species
GGCAUUCAUUCAUUGAACCGCCUUCACGGAUCGACAUUCCCAGUUUAAUUUCUGUGUAUAUCCUACAUUACUGUAAAAGUCAUUUUAAAAUAACAGAAAAUAUCAAAAGAGUAUUAAUUCGAUUUUUUAGAGCUGCUCGUCGCCAUAAACCAACAAUGUCAUCUGAAAAAGUAUAUGAUACGGAGAGCGUUGUUGCCGAAUGUAACGACUUAAUACAACAGUUAAGAAAGUGUGUUGAGGAGUCUGGUCCAUUUAAGCGAGUGAUAAUGGGAUCUUGCAACACCCUAUCCAGGCAAGUAGAAAAAUGUAAAACAAGAGUGUGGAAGGCAAAUCAAAUGGAAAGUUUUCGUCAAUCUGAAGAACGGAAGAAAAACAGCAGAAAUACUUCUUAGAUUUAAGGCAUCUUCUUGUUGUAGUUAAAAAAAAGCUUUAUAAUAAACGUGUUUAUAAAAAUC